rnacentral:lncRNA from 1 species
AUUGGAUGCAAGACUGUGACGAAUCUAAAGAUGAAGUAUUUUUUAAUAAUUUCUUUUUUAUAUAUUUUUAAUUUUAUGUAAAAAUUGUGCAUAUAUAUAUAUAUAUAUAUGUGUAUAUUCCAUUUUUGCACGUAUAGGAGUUUGUAAAAAACUUAAAUUCUAUCAUAGCUAAUGAUAUAAGUAAAGACGUAAGUAAUAAAAGAAAGUAUCACCCGAGCAGCCAAGUAUCAGGACUAAAUGAUUUUAUGUCUCCAAAAAAUAAGAAUUCGCAAAAUGGAGAUUCAAAUAAAGUUUCUUUUAAUGAUAUAUUUGAAAGUGAACAUAUAUAUAAAUUGUUAGAGAUUCCUGAAGCUCUUGAAGAAUUGAAGAAGUUAACCAUUUAAUUGAAAAAAAAAAAGAAAAAAAAAGACAAAAAUAUAUAUAUAUAUAUAUAUAUAUAUAUAUAU